UCGUGCCAAGCGGGGAGCUAGCGGUGCCCUGAACCUGCAAUCCGCUCAGCAGGGCCGGAUUCCUCGUGGAGGUUACGAAGUUCGAACCCCUAGCAUUCUGUUCUUGGUGUUGAGAGUUGGGUUCUUGCGCGGCAGAGUCCCGUGAACCCCGUCAGGUCCGGAAGGAAGCAGCGGUAAGCGGUCCACUUUGGGCGACGCAGGGCGAUCUGAUUCGAGCCGAGGCGUUUGCUACGUUCGAGCACGAAGCCGAAUUCGAGGUGCACGG
rnacentral:SRP_RNA from 1 species